UGGGGCAAUAGAUGACUAGGAGAGACAUUCCAUAGCAGUAUGAUAGGAGACAUCCUAUAUUGGUACCAUAGGAAAACAGAAGAUAUAUCAUCUCAUUAUUAGGCCAUAGACAUCAAAAACAAGAGACAGAUGCAGGAGGUGGACAAGGGCAAAGUGGUGAGUGUGUUUGGUACAGGGCACUGGGCACUUCCUGCAUCAAGCCCAAUCAACAGAGAAAACUAGCUGCUGUUUCCUAAUUUACUGCUAAUUAUGAGGUAUAAAUCCUUCCUGGAAGCCAGAAGCCUAGCAUUCUGAAGGAAAAAGUGAUAGGCUUGACCCAAGGCUGGAAGCAACAUCUGCAAGAUCUUGGGCCAGCUAUUCAGUCAGAGUGUUAGCUUCCUUGGGAACACAACAAAGGGGUAGAGCUAAACCAUAACAAGAGAAAGACCUAGACUGAUGCAGCACACUGCCAACCAUAGAGAAAAACUUGAAAGACUUCAUGACAUCGAAUGAAAAUAUCAUCAGAGAAUCAUGGGAAAAGAAGGAAAGUUGAGGCAACUCCUCCAUUUCAUCUAAGAGGAAGCAAAAAUCUUACUACAAACCUGUAAAGAAUUUUCAUACUUAGCAGGUGCUAAAAACAUAAAAUAAUAAACCUAAGGAGACUGAUUCUAAAAGAUGGUCCCAUGACACACAGUGACACAUGGUCCCAGUAGAAAAGUCCAAGCAAGUGUUUGAAAUUUACAGGAAUGACUUCAUAGAAAACCUCUGCCAAUAAAAACCCUGAGGUCCC